GGUAUUGUAAUAAGACUUUAAUUGAGUGCUAAGAGAAUGGAUUUUCAAAAAAAUUCUUUUUUAAGUUUAAAAAUUAAAGUUAUUUUUAUUUGUGAAGAAACAAUAAUAAAAAUUAAAGACAAGAAGACCCUAUGAAUUUUUAUAAACUUUAAUAUUUAAUUAAAUAUUAAAGUUUAUUUAAUUGGGGCGAUUGAGAAAGAUAAAAAACUUUUUUUAUUUAAAGAGAUCCAUUAUUAAUGAUUUUAUGUAAAAAAUACUCUAGGGAUAACAGCGUAAUAAUUUUAGAUAGAUCUUAUAGAAAAAAUAGUUUGCGACCUCGAUGUUGGAUUAGGAUACUUGUUUAAUGAAGAAGU
rnacentral:rRNA from 1 species